rnacentral:rRNA from 1 species
CGCCCUUCCAGAGGGGGACAACAGUUGGAAACGACUGCUAAUACCGCAUACGAUCUAAUCUCGGCAUCGAGGAUAGAUGAAAGGUGGCCUCUAUUUAUAAGCUAUCACUGAAGGAGGGGAGUUGCGUCUGAUUAGCUAGUUGGAGGGGUAACGGCCCACCAAGGCGAUGAUCAGUAGCCGGUCUGAGAGGAUGAACGGCCACAUUGGGACUGAGACACGGCCCAG